UUCGAAAGGGAUCGGAUUCAUUUCCUUCGGGUGCAGCCCGACCGCUUGUGCUUUGCCGUAUGGUGUCGGUGUCCCGGAGCAAUUCACUUUGCUUUCGGUGUACCCUGGCUUUAGCUAGGUGGUGCAGCGUGUCCGUGGUCCUCGAGGAAUGCACUUCCUCCCUAGUAGAAACGUCGCGACCCGUUGGGUGCCGGUCAGAGGCCUGCGAUGGUGGACCGUGUGUCCUGUGCGGAGUAAUCCGUGCAGGCAUGCGGACUCGUGGUGACCCGGCUGGCUGCCCGACGGUAUGUCAAGAGGAGUCGAUCCGCCGAACGUGAAAUAUUGGAAGUGGGGCGUCCGGCCCGGCAUCGAUGCGUGCGGAGAUUGCGAUGAUGAUCGUGGGGUGUUCGUGCUUGUGCACGUCGCCUGAUCUUUCGUGCUGUCGGCUGCUGGUGUUCUCGGAUGGGAUCGUUCUCCAAUCUGCGACGCCCAUUUUCGGAUGGUCUCCCGACCCGUCUUGAA
rnacentral:rRNA from 1 species